UACGUAGGGUGCGAGCGUUGUUCGGAGUUACUGGGCGUAAAGAGUGCGUAGGCGGUUUUCUAAGUUUGGUGUGAAAUCUCCCGGCUCAACUGGGAGGGUGCGCCGAAGACUGGAAGGCUUGAGUAUGGGAGAGGUAAGCGGAAUUCCUGGUGUAGCGGUGAAAUGCGUAGAUAUCAGGAGGAACACCUGCGGUGUAGACGGCUUACUGGACCAUAACUGACGCUGGGGCACGAAAGCGUGGGUAGCAAACAGG
rnacentral:rRNA from 1 species